GACGAACGCUGGCGGCGUGCUUAACACAUGCAAGUCGAACGAUGAAGCUAGAGCUUGCUCUGGUGGAUUAGUGGCGAACGGGUGAGUAACACGUGAGUAACCUGCCCCGAACUCUGGGAUAACUGCUGGAAACGGUAGCUAAUACCGGAUAUGACCAAUGAAGGCAUCUUCUGUUGGUGGAAAGAAUUUCGGUUCGGGAUGGACUCGCGGCCUAUCAGCUUGUUGGUGAGGUAACGGCUCACCAAGGCGACGACGGGUAGCCGGCCUGAGGGGGGGAUCGGCCACACGGGGGCUGAGAAACGGCCCAGACUCCUACGGGAGGCAGCAGUGGUGAAUAUUGCACAAUGGGCGCAAGCCUGAUGCAGCAACGCCGCGUGAGGGACGACGGCCUUCGGGUUGUAAACCUCUUUUAGUAGGGAAGAAGCGAAAGUGACGGUACCUGCAGAAAAAGCACCGGCUAACUACGUGCCAGCCGCCGCCGUAA
rnacentral:rRNA from 1 species